rnacentral:lncRNA from 1 species
UACGACUAAUUCCUUAUUACCACUCCAUUCAUUCCCAACAUGAAGAAUGAAACAAAUGGACAUGUUUAAUUACCGCCUUGCAAGAUCCUUGAAUUGAACUGAGAGUUUAUGCUAACCAAGACUGCAACAGCUUCGUGUCUGCAUCCAUGCUCACUCCAGUUCUCAGGUUUCAGUUGAAAUUAUUUUCUUUUUCCUGCUGGAACAGUCAAAUGCAAUAACACCUGGUAGAAAAUUCAAUCAGCUCAAGAGCUUCCUUGCUUCUGCCUUUUUUCAACAUUGAAUUCAACGUCCAGGAGGUUCGUUAUGCCAGCAGUUAUCUUUUGACCUACUUUAACUGGGCCAACACCUUUGGGAGUGCCUGCAGAAACAGUGCCAAAAUGUGUUCAGCCGGACGUCAAAAGUAUUUGUGACUCCUAGGCAAGGGGAGGAAAACCUUAGAAGCAGAUGUAAACCGUCUACCUGUUAGUAUUACAUCUCCUUCAAGAAGUGUCAUAAUAGAGCUUAUGUGGCCGAUGAGAAAUGGGAGCUUAAAUAUCAUGUCCUUGGUUGAGCCUUUCUGCCUCAAUUCUCCAUCUACCUAUGGUGAAGCAAAUUAAUUUGAACACAUCAGAAGUGGUGACCAAUUCAAAAACCAGGACACAAAUAAAGAAGGUUGUAGAAAAGGAAACACUAACCUUCAGCCACAAUUCUAUAUUGUCCGGGUCUGGCACCAUUUCCUUGGGUAGCUGCAUGAAGUUUGGAGAGUCAAAUAGCUUAGCAUGCUUAAAAAAUUUAAAAGAUAAAAGAAAAUGGCUGUUUAUAGAGAUAGAACAGUUUACCUCCCAAACUGAAAAAUAAAUAAAGAGGUCAUUUGGUACGAGGGACUGUCAUGGACUGGAUUAAGUAUUGAUACUGUCUUGGAUCGGCUUGGCUUGGCAUAAGCUGGAUAACACUUGUACAGCGUUUGGUGUAUGUUUAAUUGGACUAGGACUAUUAAUAUUUUUUUUUGAAAAGUAAGAUUUUUUUAUAUUUUUUUGACUUUUCUUCUCUCUCCAUGUCUUUCUUCCUCUAUGCAUCUCGUUUUUUUCAUUUUGGACGAACCUCUCUGCUCCUCCUUCUUCUUCUCCUCUGCAUCUCUUUAUCUUCUUCUUCUCCAUUUUCUCUCCUCUUCUUUUGUCUACUUUUCUUUUCUUUUCUUUUCUUUUCAAAAAAUUUCUCCCAUCUUUUCUAUUUUUUUCUAAAAUUUUCUCUCCUCCUCUUCUCCAUUUUCUUUCCUCUUCUCCUCCAUUUUCUUUCUUCUUCUCUAUUUUUUUCGAAAAUUUCUCUCAUCUCUUCUUCUCCAUUUUCUCUCCUCUCCUCUGUUUUGUUUUUAGAAAAUUUUCUGUUCUCUCCUCUUCCUCUUCUAUUCUGUCAUCUCCUUCUUGGGUGGCUGUGGCUGUGGCUGGUGGCUGUGGCUUGUGGUCGUGGUUGGUGGUCAUGGCGGGUGGUUGUAUCUGGUGGUUGGGAAUGGUGGUUGUGGCUGCUGCUUGGUUGGUCGUUGGUUGUGGGGCGAUUGGGUGUGGUUGCUAGUUGCUUGGGUCAUCGGGACUGUUAGUCCCUCCUCUCCAGAUGGGUUUAGCUAAGAACACCUAAGGAGGUGUUUUUGGUGGGCCCAGUAUUAGCUAAUCCCAUUUAAAAUUAGAACUGGGUGAAACAAACAUGGGAUAAAACUUGAGCCAAGCCAGUCCAAGCUUGCACGGUGUAACAAAUAGGCCCAAAUAGUAAUUGUGGUAAAACUCCAAGUCUACAACUAUACCGACACUCGUAGCUCCACAGGGGAUCCAGAAAAUGUUAGCGAGAUCCUAGUGUAAUUAGGAGAUUUACUUCAUAAUAUAUUAUGAUUCUAUUUAUUUCCUUUUGUAUAGAUAUUAUAUAAUUAGGAUUUUAUCUUAGUUUCCUAGUAUAACCCUACUAGGGUUUGUACUCUUGUAUUAUAAAUACCUCAUUUUGGAGAAUGAAAUAUAAUCCGAAAAUAUUCUACCCACUUUGUUUGACAUGGUAUCAGAGCAAACUUUUCUAGUGGCCUGUGUGUUGUGCCCACCCGUAUUAUAGCCCCAUAUUUUUUUCUCUACCUGUGCUGUGUGUGCCCCCCUCUGGGUUUGUGAGUUGUGUUGUCAUGUUCGUACCCAAUCAUGUCUUCGUGCAUCUGUCGUAUUUGUGCCUUUGCUAUUGUAACACCCCGACCCCAAAUUUAACCCUUAUUUAAUUAUUUAAUUAUUUAAGGGCAUUUUGGUCAUAUUUUUAACCUGAGAGAGUUUGGGGCAAUGACUAGUAUUUUUGGAUAGGUCGUACUGCGACGAGUUCAUAGACACGUAGUGGGCUCGAAUCGGAGUUGUAACGAGAGAGAUAUGGUCAAAAGAAAUCUAGUGGCACAAUCGUAAAUAUUUCAAAAUGAGAUUUUUAUAAAAACUCAGAUUUCUCUCUCUCUCUCUCUCUCUCUCUCUCUCUCUCUCUCUCUCUCUCUCUCUCUCUCUCUCCCGUCGGUCUCUCUCUCUCUCUCCUCGUAACUCCGGCCACGGCUGUGAACGGGGUCGGUACCAAAAUGACUGGGGCGUCAUCCUCUUCCAGCCCCAGCCGUCUCCCGCCUCCAGCCACCGUGGUUUCGCCGGAAAAUGGAGAAGAAGCGGCCGGCGUCGUCCGAUCUUCGCCGCCGUCGAUCUCCCUCCUCCGGCCGCCAUUUCUGGCGAUCAAGGUAUGGAAAUUCAUCCCUUCUGCAUGCUCUAGCUAAUGAUUGGGUAGGAUUGGAUUGAUUCUUAGCGUAGCCAAUUCGAUUUUCGAAUUUAAAUUCGGCCAGUUUUGGGAUCGCGAUUCCGGCCACUUCCAGUCAGUUUUUGGGGUAGGUCCAAGAACAAAAGUGGCUCCAAAUAGGGUGUUAUACCUAGGGUAGGAGUUUGGAACCGUGGUUUUGAGAUUUUCCAGCGAAGCUUUAUCGCUUUGGGCACCCACGCUCUGCCGGCGCGUGCGGCGGCGCGUGGGCACUGUAGAAAAAGUGGUACUGUGUCUCGAUGAGAUCCUUAGGUUGUCACGAGUGUGUAGGAUUUCGCGGAUCUCAAUUCGGACAUCGUUUGACUACCGAACGGAUAUCGCCUAUUGUACGUUAUCCGGGUUCGAUAGGUUGGGACCGUUGGAUGGUCCCAAAUUUAAUAUAUGUCAAUCUAGGUAUUUCUAGGUUCGGGUAGGAAUUCACGGAUUGUGAAUCGGAGCCCCGGAUAUUCCGAAUAAUAAUUUAAAGUUUAUAUUUUAUAUUAACCAUCAGAUCGUACGAUCGUGAGCGAUCCGACCGUCCGAUCUGAACCAAACUCGCAAGACGAGUGUCCUAUACCUUGUAAAACCCAUAGGGACUUUCGGAUCGGAAUAUGGAGGUCGCGGGCCCCGCAGGUCCGUUUGACCCAUGGUUGACCGUGAGUCUCCCGGAGUAAUCUUACCUUCCCAGGGGGGAUUAUCGGGUGCUCGACUAUUGUGGAGGGUUACACAAUAUUAGAAUUAAUUUUUAUAAUUAUAAUUUUAUAUGUUUGUACAAGGGUACAAAAGAGUCUAGAAUGUCAGUUUGGAGUGCUAUACGCACUACCUUAGGUACCUCCCCGGAUUUUGGUUACAUUACAAGUACCACCAAGUGAAAGUUAGGUCUCACGUGGUGUAGGUUAUCCGGCGUGCGGACAGACCCCAUACGUGGCGUUGGUUGUCCCGCGUAUGGGGAGAUUUAUAAUAUGAUGUUCAGGUCUCACGUGGCGUAGGUUAUCCGGCGUUGAGACAGGCCCCAUACGUGGCGUUGGUUGUACCGGCGUAUGGGGAGAUAUGUGAUAUUGUGUUGAGGUCGCGCGUGGCGUAGGUUAUCUGGCGUGUCGACAGACCCCAUAUGUGGCGUUGGUUGUACCGGCGUAUGGGGAGAUAUGUGAUAUGAUGUGCAGGUCUCGCGUGGCGUAGGUUAUCCGGCGUUGAGACAGACUCCAUACGUGGCGUUGGUUGUACCGGCGUAUGGGGAGAUAUUAUGAUAAUAUGGCAUGGUCGCACGUGGCGUAGGUUAUCCGGCGUGUUGACAGACCUCAUACGUGGCGUUGGUUGUACCGGCGUAUGGGGAGAUUAUGUGAAAUACAGAUAAAUGAAAUAAGGUAUCGCCUAAGUGUGGAAUUGGGUUUUAUGGAAGAACUACGUGUGGCUUGAUCCCUCAAGGAGGGUACGUAGGCAGCCUAAGGUUAUUAGGUGCAGCCGCAGACUAAAUGUUAGUCAUAAAAUUUAUUUGAAUUGUUUGUUUAGUGGGUUUGGUAGUAGUUGAGAAUUAUUGGAAGGCCGAAGGCCGGUUGUGUGAAUUGCAUGAAAUUAUAUUGUGCAUGCUGCCAGUUGUGGAUAUUAAAUGCAUUUUUUUUGCAGGUUGUAAUUUUGGGAAAUGUCCAAAUUAUAGAGGAGACUCUGCCGAAAUUUCGGCAGGAAGUCUCGGUCUUUAGUAAGUAGGCCUAGCAUCGGGAUGAUGUUGGGAAUUCCAAAGGGUUCGCCUCGGGUUCUGAAAAACUCAGGGCGGGUCCUUUCAGCUAUGUUCCACUGUGCACUCUACUGUGUUCAUACCUCUAUUGUGUUCGUGCCUGUCUUCGUGCAUCUGCUGUAUUUGUGCCUCUAUUGUGUUCCAUUGUACACUUGCCGUGAUCAGUUGAAUUUCUGCUGCAAUCAUGGAUAAUUGAUAACUCAUAGUGUGAAUAUCCUGAAGCAAACAAAAACUAGGAUAAAUGAGUACACAACAAUUCAAUUAUUCAGUAAGCUGACUAACUGACAUCAAUUUAUUGGAUAAAGAUGGAACAAGUAAAGUAUUAGACAGCGAGAGAAAGGAUGAGAAUGCAACAGUGCUAGCCCUUAUCACAGGAUAAGUAACUUCAUUGACGUUAGCAAUACAAGUUCAUCGAGGUUGGGUAGUAUUCAAAAAAUAUCAAGAUCAAACAUCAUAUGAUCAGUUUCAUGGGAAUCAAUUAUCCAGCUCGUGGAAUCACUCUUAUCCUAAGUAUGAAAUUCAUAACUAGUAUCAUUAUGGGUCGUAUCGGGUUGUGUUCAAUCUUUUAGAGUAGCCCACCAUUCAGAGUAGCCAUGCAAUUUAAAACAAGUCACACGAGUGUGUCUCAGAUCACCACAGUAUGCGCAAUCUCGUCCAUGUGUCAGGGUCGUUAGUUGGGAAGUCAUAAUUUGUGCAUUGGAAGAUGCAUAGGAUACAAGUUUAGUAGAAAUCUGGAUCGGGAUCUGAGCCUGAGUCGGGGUCGGAGUCGAAGUCGGGAUCUGGAUCUGAAUCAUAGACAGAUUUAGGGUUAGGGUCGUCAUUAGGGGUCGUCGUCGUCGUAGUCAGGGUCGAGGUCAUCAUUGUAGUUGGGGACGAGGUCGUCAAAAUAAGAUCAUGAUUCAGGAUCGAGUUCGGAUUCAGGAUCGGGUUUGGGGUCAAAGUCUGCAUCUGUAGGAGCUGAGCCACCUGAACACUCAACUCGGCUAUGGUUGGUUGAGAAGGAAAGAAGAAGUCAGUGGUCCUACCUCCAUGAGGGUUGAAAAAAAUCAUCAAUCCCUAUAGAGGCUGCGGGGUUGGAAACUAGAGACAACAAUUCCAAGCGUGGCUCUGACACCAUGCUAAAAUAUGAGAACUAUGAGAGAAUACUUGUUUGUGGAAAUUUUCUGUGUAUUCUUCUCCUUAUAUGAAGUUAUAUUUAUAAUACAACGGAACUUUAAUGGGCAAGUAAAUAAUAAAUUCUUAUUUCUAUUUACAGUAGGAAAUCAUGAAUUAAAGUAAAUUAAAUAUAGUUAUAAUGGGAAUCUUUUAUGUGUAAGGAAAGAAAGUCAAUGAUCCACAAAUCAGGCCAACAACAAAUUAAACGAAGAGCAAAUCAAAGAAAUCGACGACUUUCAGCACAGCUUGCUAUUGCGCUUUUGGCGAUUCAACAUCCUCAUAUUUUAGCCCAAAUAGACAAAAUUUCUGUUGAAAAAUCGUUGGACGACCACCAAGAUGAUGACUUUGUGUUGGCGUAUGUUGAUACGUUAUGGGAGCCCCACCUUCCUCACAAGAAGUAAAAGAGUGAUAGGGACGAAGAGAGAGAGGGGCUGGGCUUGGUGCCACUAAGUUUUCGAUUUUUAAAUUUUAUUUAAAUAUUUUUUUAAUCAUUUUAUAUUAUUGAUUUUUUAAAAAGUUUAAAGGUCAGUUAGUUCAUUGGUGGGUCCUACAAUGGACACGUGAUUAGUUAACAUCUGAUCAAACAGUCAACUUAACGGAAGGCAUAAAUAGGUCAGACUUGAAAACAUUAGAGUGUAAAUUGAUGAAAUUGAAACCUUAGGGUUCAUAUUGAGAAUGACCCCAAACCUUCAGGGAGUCUUUUGUCGUUAGCCCUAAAUUUUACAUACUGAACAUCAAGCUUGGACAAAGUACAAAACUUUGGAAACUUUCACCAGACAACAGAGUGGUGUUGUCUCCUACUCUUGAUCAAGGAAAAAGACCCCAAAAACAUACAAACUUGCAUUGCAAUUUAAACAUAUAUAUAUAUAUAUAACUCUGUUUACAAACUCAUUGUUCAUAACUCGUGUUAGGAGAUCUAAAUAGUCGCCAUUUCCAUAUUUCCACUUCCAUUAUGGCCUUGUUCAUGUUCUUCAAUGGCAGAAUUUUGUGCGUCAUCAUUGCUAUAAAAAUAAAAGCCAACACACAAGUAGUAGAUGAAGCUACCGAGACUUAGAAACGUUAGCAGUCUGUAAUACUUGUCAAGACGACUCAGAUUUAUGCUGUCAUUGAACCAUCUAUGCCUAAAUGCCAAGAUAAUAAGAGCGGUUAAUAACUUUCCAGUCCCCACGACUAAGUCGCUGGUGUGGGAUCCAUAAUGCUUAGCCAUUUCUUUAUCCUUCUCGUCCACUCUAUCAGCCAAAAGAUCAAUCAAUCCAUCUACGGCUAACCCUUCCAUAAGUCCUAACAGGAAGAACUGUGGAACCAACCAAAACAUGCUCAUAGAAAUAGUUUCUGAAGUGUCAUCUUCAAGCCCUGCCCUCGUAACUUUCCUCAUCCUCUGGAUCUCAACCACCCAAGCAGCAACGCAACAUAACACAGUAGAAGCCAUUCCACAGCCAAUUCUAGCCCGCGUUCGCUUUGGAAUUAGUUUGGGGAAGAGAAAUGAGAUUAUGUACUUCGAAAAGGAGCUAAGCACAUUGAAAUAAACUGCAGGGUCAUAAUUGUGGAUGGGAUUUUUCAAGUUACUCAUUUGUUCGAAAAAGAAGGUGCUCCCUGCUGCCUUUACCAUACUGUAUACAAAGAAGGCUAACCAUGAAGCUACAAUUUCUUUGCGCAAACGUUUUUUCUUCCUCACCUUUUUGUUCAAUGUCCAAAGGUUCUCUCUUUCUGUGACUUGGUGAUGCUCCCCUGCUUGUGCUUCUUUAUUGUUUUUCAAAUAAUCGUUGUAGCCAAACCAGAACAAUAAAUAAGAAACUGCCAUUGCAAUUGUUGAAAUCAUGAAGAUCUGAGUCCAAGUUGUUUUUAAAAGGAAAAGAGGUACCACUGCACCUAAAAACCAUGGAACACCCCAGAAGUCCUUUUUAUCCCUUUCUGCCAUUUCUUUCGUCACCUGUUGAUCACCACCAGCUUCUGUAUACUUUUCUGCUGUUAUUUCUUUCUGUUCGCUAGCUUCUUCCCAUCCUUCCGGUCGUUUGCCAUCAGUGCGUCCUGUUUCUUUAUGUUGGCUUAAACAUUGCUUGUUAAGAAAUUCUUUCAAAGCAGCGGAUCGCCCAGAUUCACCUAAUGUUAAUAGUACCACUGCUCCAUAGAAUAUCCUGGCCAUUGCUGCGUAGUCCUCGCUUUUAUAUUCAUUAGGAAGCCAUAACAGAGAUAGCCCCUGUAUAAUUCACAAGAAUAGCAAUCAAAACAAGCAUAUAGAUAUCAAAAUAUGAACUCCUUGACAUGUAGUAAUAGUUGUCAACAAGUCUUGAACAAUUAAUUCAAUGUUUAUUCUCUUCACAAUAAGGACUUAUGGGUAGCAGAGUGGGUUAGGCUAGUUUGUUAAGGCACUGUGCUCGCCCCCUUGCACUUGAGUUCGAUCCCUCUCCCCGUAUAUUAGAAUAGUUUAGAAUAUGGCUUUGUAAAAAAUUAAAAUUUUAAAAUUAAAAAAAAAAAAAAAAAGACUUGUGGGUAAAACAUGUACUUACAAGAAUAUAGGCAGCAUUUGUGGUGGCAAUUAUUUUGAGACCACCAUUGAAUGUGUGUGAGAAAUGAGCUAGGAAAAUCACCAAUAUGUCUGCUAUCCCUUCUUGCACAUUGGUAACUACGGCAGCUAUUUGAAAAUGUGGAUGAGACCAAUUGUUUUGGAGGUACACUAUCAAGAUAGACAUUAUCGCAUGGUUGACGAAGCUAUGGCUCAAAACCAACCCUACAUUAUAUAUAUAUAUGUGUGUGUGUGUAGAAAUAAGAAGAAAAUUGAUUAGAAAUUAGUUUGAAUCACACUCUUUAAAAUAUAUCAUUAUACUUUCAUUUUAAAGUAUCUCUGAGAUAAAUACCCUGGAUGCAUAUUGUAGCCUUGGAAAAGUAGAGGUACUUAUGGAUGCACUCUCUCACAAAGUGAAUGAGUGCUCCCAAACCCAUUAUUGAGGAGGGGAGUGCGGAUAAUCUUCAGUCGAUGUAAAGGAAGUGAGGGAGGGUGUUCUGCUUUUGAAAGCAAAAUCUGCAGCCUUCACAACUAAUUAAAUUAGUUCCCUCUUCUCUUGCAAAACGAAAUGCGUAUUAGCCAAAAAUAAUAGCAAUGAAAACAUAUAAUGCAAAGGAAGAUGCAAUCUGUGAGUGUGAUUGUUUACUCAGAGAGAGAGAGAGGUGAGGAGAAGGUGCACUCUGUGAGAAAAACUAAUGCAAAGGAAGUUUGUUUAGGCAGUGUGGAAGAGGCAAGUGAGAAAGACAUAUAUAUAGUAAGCCACCAUUGUAAUAGCAACCAAAAAGAGAAGGACUUCCUCUUGUUUUCAAUUGUUGUUUUUAAUGAAAAGAGAAGAGAAGACUUUCUCUUCUUUUUCUUAAUUUUUUAAAUAAAAAAAGACGAAGACUUUUUCUUGAUCAUAAAAAUAAAAAGACGAAGACUAAUUUCUUACAUAUUUUAUAAAUAAAAAAAAUCAAAACCAGAAGACCGAGAGGUGCAUGCGAUGAUGCGAAAGACUUGAGAAGAGCAGCAACAAUAUAUAUAUUCCAUUGAAAGUCUUUGAAUAUUUGAUCGAAAUAAAGAAAUACCAUGACAAAGUAAACGAAUCUAAGAAGAGCAACUUGUACGUCCAAAGUAUUCAACAACUACCAUGUGUGACGAAAUUAUUUUAUUUUAUUUUUCUAAUAACUAGAGUUGCAUUUCCUUCGUCUAUGGGAUGGCUGAUGACAGCUAAGUUUGUACUUCCUUUUUUAAUAAAAAUGAUCACUCAAGUUUGGAAACUCAACCAGAUGGUCUGAUAUUAAAAAGGUGCUUAUUUCGCUUUUGAAUAUUUUAAUAUUUGCAUCUUUUGAAUAUAUAUAGCCCGUCAACGAAAAUAUAUUUUAAAGUGUUUGUUUGUAUUCAGUACAUGAAUGAAUGUACUGAGUACAAACAAACAUACCCAAAGUCUAUUUAUAACAUAACAAAAGGGUUUUAACUUCUUUUAAAUUACAAAACUGUCAUUGAUUUCUUAAAAUAAACACAAUCCAAAAACCUCAUAAAAAAUCUCAAAACACUCAAUAGGGCAUCAAAGUAAUUUAAUAAUUAAAAUUAAAUUCAAUAGGACCAGCUAUCAUUUUUGAAUUUUUUUUAAAGAAAGAAAUGUGUUGACACGUGGCCCCUAUUGGUUGGGGGACUUUUUUUAUAUUUAAAAAUAGUAUAGCCGCCCGGCUAUACCCAAAUUUUUUUUUUAUAAAACAAAAUAUACUAGAGGCGGAAGGCAUUUUUUUUUAAUUUUUUUUUAAAAUUGAAUUUAAUAAAUAGCAUAGACGGGCGGCUAUAGUCUUUUACAUACGUGUUCAUAUAUAUAUAUAUAUAUAUAUAUAUGUACACACACACAUAUGUAGGUACGUAUUUUUCAACAAUACAUUCGUGUUCCAUACACGUCUCACUUUUUUUUAAAAAGCAAACAUACAAUAGGCGUAUUGUACAUGUACGUACGUAUUUCUAAUUUUUUUACUAGUAUUUUUUAUAAAAUUUUCAGUAACACACACAAAUUCACAUAUUAUUGAAUAAGAAUAACAUAUGGUAUAAAAAUUAUAUUAAAAUAUCAAAUAGUGGAAUAUUCAUAUCUACUUUGGAUAUGUUGCAAAUUAAUAUCCAUAAGGUACACUCCUUUUUAUUUUUUUAAUAUUUUUUUAGUUAAUUUUACUCUUUUUUGUUCUUUCGCUUUCCUAUUUUACCUUUGAUGACGUGGCAAAUGAGCACUUUGGGGAGGUGCUGAUGUGUGAAAAAUAAAUUAAUGUAGGUAAGGGUAUAAUAGGAAUGAGAAAAAACCCACAAAAAAAAAAGUGAUUAAAAAAUAUUUUAAAACAAAAGGGAGUGUAAGUGGAGAAAAUAGGGGUAGGAAAAUCCGCUCCCAUAACAAGAAUAAAUUAUGCAUUUUGGAAGCUACGAUUGCAGGUUUUGCUUGCCAUGAGAGGAUUCUUCAGAGCUGAAUCAAUAUUGAGGGUUCAAACUCUGACUCGCGCGGGGCUUCAGUGGGGUCAUCGCAACAUUCUUCUCUACCCAUGCAUUGUCUCGGUGAGAAACUGGAUUGGAAACUACUACUACUUUUCCGAGGCUACUACACGCAUCCGAGGUGAUUCAUCCCUGUUGAAUUAACAUGCACUCAUUCACUGAAUUUUAUCUUAUAUGCUUCAUUCGAACCAACUUAGUUUCUGAUUUCAUCUGUUGCUCUGUGAUGGCAUAUAUAUGUAAUGUAUAUAUAGCUCUGGUUUGCAGCCAUAGCUUCAUAAACCACGCGUUAGUGAAUAUCUUGAUAACUUACCUCACGGAUAAUUGGAGUACUUCACAUUUUGAAAUGGCUGCCCUCGUUACAAAUGUCCAAGAAGGGGUAUCGGGCAUCAUGGUGAUUGUUCUUGCACGUAUAUCAAGCACGCACAUGGCUCGUUUUAAAACGAUUGCUUCCACAAAUGCUGCUUAUUUUUCUUGUAAGUCUUCUUGCAUUAAAAGUUCAAAUUAAGCUGAUUGAACAACCGUUUCCAAUUUCAUCUUGGAUCCCGUCACUUGAUCUCCACGUGUGCGUAUCUUUGCAAAAAUGUAAAAUUUUAAAUAAAAGAAAUCUCUAAAACUCGAUUGUAUAUGCAUACAGUUGUAUUUGCUGCCUACAUAUACAUACUGAGGCUAAGGUAUACUAGGUGCACAAAGAAGCACAAAGAAAAAAGUUUUGGCCACUCAUAAAACUCAAGGACGAAAAGGGUUCUUUCACAGAAGUGAUAGCUAUGAGGUCGGCCUUCUUCGCAUACAGUUUGGUGGAUGCAACAGGGAGCACCUUCUUUUUUCAACAAAUGAGAAAUUUUGGAUAGUCCGAUUGGGUCAAUCGAGUUCCUUCCAUUAUAUUUCACAGUACUUAGGGACUUCUCAAGUUUCUUAAUCUCAUUUUUGUACAACUUACUGAUUCCAAAGCACUGGAGAAAGGCUACGGGUACGCUUACGCUGGUGAGAAUUGGCUGCGGAUUGGCUUGUUCUAUGCUAUGUUGUGUUGCUGCUUGGCAGGUUGAGGGAAAGAGAUUGAGGGCAAUUAGCAAUGAAGGGCUUGAAGAUGACAUGUCUACGACUAUUCCUAUGAGCAUUUCGUGGUUACUUCCACAGUUCGUCCUUUUGGGAGUAAUGGAAGGGCUAGCCCUAAAUGGAUUGACUGAUUUCCUUGCUGAUCGAAUUGCUAAUAAUGAUGCACUAAGGGCCACUUAUUAUGCAUCCCACAUCUCUGACCUCAUCCUUGGUGUUGGAAAAUUAAUUACAGCUUCUACCAUAAUAUUGUUUAGGCGAAGUUGGUUCCAUCACAACAUAAAUGGGAGUCGCCUGGAUCGUUUUUUUGAGCUAUUAACUUACCUAAGUCUUGUUAACCUAAUUUACUACGUGUGCAUCUCCUUAUACUUUUAUCGCAAUGACAAAUCACGAAAAUCUGCCAACAAUGGAAAUGAACAGGGGAUUGAUGCUCAUGAGAUUGGUGACGUUGAGGCCCCAGAGCAGGAGACCAAUAAAGAUGACGAGGAGGACGACAACCUUAAUUAGUGGUAGUGUGGACUUCGGAACCCACCAAAGCGCUCAAGAAGUGUAGUUACAAAAACGGUGAUUGCUGCCGUUAGUGAGCUGAUUUUGCUUCUCUGCAAUUUCCCGGUAAAGCAGGGGUCUUAUUUGUUCUCUGGGUUUAUGUUAUGUAAAUACGCAUUGUGAAUCUGUGAUGCAUGGUUUUCUUUCCCGGUUCUGUUGUUAGAACAUAAAAUUAUAUUUCACUUCCGCAUAUUAUAUAUCUUCUUACACUAAUUUCUGUUAGUCCUCUUCCUUGUCAAGUAACCCAAAUUACAAAUGGAAUAAAAUUUUCUGGGGAGGGGGGGCGAGUAAAUAGCAUUACUGUUUGAAAAUAUAAAAAAAAGCACCAAAAUUCUUUGCACCUAUGACAUCUUGCGUGCCAAAUUCAAAACUGUGGAAAAGUUUUUUGCCAUCCCAAGUUAUUUCUACGACUAAUUCCUUAUUAUCACUCCAUUCAUUCCCAACAUGAAGAAUGAAACAAAUGGACAUGUUUAAUUACCGCCUUGCAAGAUCCUUGAAUUGAACUGAGAGUUUAUGCUAACCAAGACUGCAACAGCUUCGUGUCUGCAUCCAUGCUCACUCCAGUUCUCAGGUUUCAGUUGAAAUUAUUUUCUUUUUCCUGCUGGAACUGUCAAAUGCAAUAACACCUGGUAGAAAAUUCAAUCAGCUCAAGAGCUUCCUUGCUUCUGCCUUUUUUCAACAUUGAAUUCAACGUCCAGGAGGUUCGUUAUGCCAGC